UUCUGCUCAGUCAGUAGAGCAUGAGACUCUUAAUCUCAAGGUUGUGGGUUCGAGUCCCGCAUUGAGCAAAA